CACAUCCGAUCUAGCCAGUCCUA
rnacentral:siRNA from 1 species